GACGAACGCUGGCGGCGUGCUUAACACAUGCCAGUCGAACGGAAAGGCCCUGCUUUUGUGGGGUGCUCGAGUGGCGAACGGGUGAGUAACACGUGAGUAACCUGCCCUUGACUUUGGGAUAACUUCAGGAAACUGGGGCUAAUACCGGAUAGGAGCUCCUGCUGCAUGGUGGGGGUUGGAAAGUUUCGGCGGUUGGGGAUGGACUCGCGGCUUAUCAGCUUGUUGGUGGGGUAGUGGCUUACCAAGGCUUUGACGGGUAGCCGGCCUGAGAGGGUGAACGGCCACAUUGGGACUGAGAUACGGCCCAGACUCCUACGGGAGGCAGCAGUGGGGAAUAUUGCACAAUGGGCGGAAGCCUGAUGCAGCAACGCCGCGUGCGGGAUGACGGCCUUCGGGUUGUAAACCGCUUUCGCCUGUGACGAAGCGUGAGUGACGGUAAUGGGUAAAGAAGCACCGGCUAACUACGUG
rnacentral:rRNA from 1 species